CACGUAGGGUGCGAGCGUUGUCCGGAAUUAUUGGGCGUAAAGAGCUCGUAGGCGGUGUGUCGCGUCGGCCGUGAAAACCUGCAGCUUAACUGUGGGCGUGCGGUCGAUACGGGCAUCACUGGAGUUCGGCAGGGGAGACUGGAAUUCCAGGUGUAGCGGUGAAAUGCGUAGAUAUCUGGAGGAACACCGGUGGCGAAGGCGGCAUCCUGGACCGAGAUUGACGCUGAGGCGCGAAAGCCAGGGGAGCAAACGGG
rnacentral:rRNA from 1 species